UAGGGAAUCUUCGGCAAUGGGGGCAACCCUGACCGAGCAACGCCGCGUGAGUGAAGAAGGUUUUCGGAUCGUAAAGCUCUGUUGUAAGAGAAGAACGUGUGUGAGAGUGGAAAGUUCACACAGUGACGGUAACUUACCAGAAAGGGACGGCUAACUACGUGCCAGCAGCCGCGGUAAUACGUAGGUCCCGAGCGUUGUCCGGAUUUAUUGGCGUAAAGCGAGCGCAGGCGGUUUAAUAAGUCUGAAGUUAAAGGCAGUGGCUUAACCAUUGUUCGCUUUGGAAACUGUUAAACUUGAGUGCAGAAGGGGAGAGUGGAAUUCCAUGUGUAGCGGUGAAAUGCGUAGAUAUAUGGAGGAACACCGGUGGCGAAAGCGGCUCUCUGGUCUGUAACUGACGCUGAGGCUCGAAAGCGUGGGGAGCAAACAGG
rnacentral:rRNA from 1 species